rnacentral:lncRNA from 1 species
GGUGAAGACGACCAGACCUUACCCUCUCCCAGGUUUGGCGGUCAUUGCCUCUUCCCCCAUUUCAUUUCACGAGCGGAUGAGAUGAGAGCGCGAGAAAGAAUGCCGACCGACUCCGGACCAAUGCAUGGUUGAUGCAUCCCUCUUCCUGUAACGCAAAUCUCUCCCCCACCCCUUUUUUUAGCUCACAGUAAAGUGCAUUUAUUCAGCUAAUCUGAAUACGUGCAAAUCUCCCAUGGCAAUAGGUUUAAUUUAUUUUUCGCCUAUGGCGUUUUCUUUAUCCUCUUGUAGAAUUUGUUCUUCUUAUAGUAUAUGGAUAUGAUGACAUUUUAUAGAAUUUUUUGUGAUGGUCAUUUUUAUAAAAAAAUUUAUAGAAUUUGUAUGAUGACAUUUUUACAGAAUUUUGAUUGUAGCCACACAACUAUUUUUUUCUCUCUUAAUUGAUAUGUUGUGAUGGAAGAGAACAAGUAAUCUUCCAUGGCAAUAAGUUUAUAUUUCUGCCAUGGCAUUUUUAUCCCCAAGUCAUUUUUGUAGAAUUGUUUGUCUUUUUGUAGUAUAAGUGAUAUGUUUCUUAUAGGACGAUGUCAUUUUCACUAUAAUUCUUGGUUGUGGCCGAAUGGCUUCAUUUUUUGUAAGUGAUAUGUUG